rnacentral:rRNA from 1 species
AUACAUGCAAGUCGAGGGGCAGCACGGGUAGCAAUAUCUGGUGGCGACCGGCGCACGGGUGCGUAACACGUAUACAAUCUACCCUUAACAGGGGGAUAGCCCUCCGAAAGGAGGAUUAAUACCCCAUAAUAAAUUGAAUGGCAUCAUUUGAUUUUGAAAGUUCCGACGGUUAAGGAUGAGUAUGCGUCUGAUUAGCUAGUUGGUGAGGUAAAGGCUCACCAAGGCAACGAUCAGUAGGGGAUCUGAGAGGACUACCCCCCACACUGGUACUGAGACACGGACCAGACUCCUACGGGAGGCAGCAGUAAGGAAUAUUGGUCAAUGGAGGCAACUCUAAACCAGCCAUGCCGCGUGCAGGAAGACGGCCCUAUGGGUUGUAAACUGCUUUUGUACGGGAGAAAACCCUUUCACGUGUGAGAGGUUGAUAGUACCGUAAGAAUAAGCAUCGGCUAACUUCGUGCCAGCAGCCGCGGUAAGACGAAGGAUGCAAGCGUUAUCCGGAUUCAUUGGGUUUAAAGGGAGCGUAGGUGGACUUGUAAGUCAGUGGUGAAAUCUCUCAGCUUAACUGAGAAACUGCCAUUGAUACUGCAGGUCUUGAGUACAGAUGAUGUGGGCGGAAUAUGAUAUGUAGUGGUGAAAUACUUAGAUAUGUCAUAGAACACCGAUUGCGAAGGCAGCUCACAAAACUGUAA